GAUGAACGCUGGCGGCGUGCCUAAUACAUGCAAGUCGAGCGAACGGACGAGAAGCUUGCUUCUCUGAUGUUAGCGGCGGACGGGUAAGUAACACGUGGAUAACCUACCUAUAAGACUGGGAUAACUUCGGGAAACCGGAGCUAAUACCGGAUAAUAUUUUGAACCGCAUGGUUCAAAAGUGAAAGACGGUCUUGCUGUCACUUAUAGAUGGAUCCGCGCUGCAUUAGCUAGUUGGUAAGGUAACAGCUUACCAAGGCAACGAUGCAUAGCCGACCUGAGAGGGUGAUCGGCCACACUGGAACUGAGACACGGUCCAGACUCCUACGGGAGGCAGCAGUAGGGAAUCUUCCGCAAUGGGCGAAAGCCUGACGGAGCAACGCCGCGUGAGUGAUGAAGGUCUUCGGAUCGUAAAACUCUGUUAUUAGGGAAGAACAUAUGUGUAAGUAACUGUGCACAUCUUGACGGUACCUAAUCAGAAAGCCACGGCUAACUACGUG
rnacentral:rRNA from 1 species